rnacentral:rRNA from 1 species
UACGAGAGGCCCAAGCGUUAUUCGGAUUUACUGGGCUUAAAGAGUUCGUAGGCUGCACAGAAAGUAGGGUGUGAAAGCCCUCGGCUCAACCGAGGAAUUGCGCUCUAAACUGCUGUGCUUGAGGAACCUAGAGGUGAGCAGAACUGAUGGUGGAGCGGUGAAAUGCGUUGAUAUCAUCAGGAAUACCGGAGGCGAAGGCGGCUCACUGGGGGUUUUCUGACGCUGAGGAACGAAAGCCAGGGGAGCGAACGGG